GUAUGUGGUCGUAGACCCGAAACCAGGUGAUCUACCCAUGUCCAGGAUGAAGUUCAGGUAACACUGAAUGGAGGUCCGAACCCACGCACGUUGAAAAGUGCGGGGAUGAGGUGUGGGUAGCGGAGAAAUUCCAAUCGAACUUGGAGAUAGCUGGUUCUCUCCGAAAUAGCUUUAGGGCUAGCCUCAUGUGUAAGAGUCUUGGAGGUAGAGCACUGUUUGGACUAGGGGCCCUCAUCGGGUUACCGAAUUCAGACAAACUCCGAAUGCCAAAGACUUAUCCAUGGGAGUCAGACUGCGAGUGAUAAGAUCCGUAGUCGAAAGGGAAACAGCCCAGACCACCAGCUAAGGUCCCAAAGUAUACGUUAAGUGGAAAAGGAUGUGGAGUUGCUUAGACAACCAGGAUGUUGGCUUAGAAGCAGCCACCAUUUAAAGAGUGCGUAAUAGCUCACUGGUCGAGUGACUCUGCGCCGAAAAUGUACCGGGGCUAAACGUAUCACCGAAGCUGUGGAUUGACACCUCUAGGUGUCAGUGGUAGGAGAGCGUUCUAAGGACUGCGAAGCUAGACCGUAAGGACUGGUGGAGUGCUUAGAAGUGAGAAUGCCGGUAUGAGUAGCGAAAGAUGGGUGAGAAUCCCAUCCACCGAAUGCCUAAGGUUUCCUGAGGAAGGCUCGUCCGCUCAGGGUUAGUCGGGACCUAAGUCGAGGCCGAUAGGCGUAGACGAUGGACAACAGGUUGAUAUUCCUGUACCACCUCUUUUCCGUUUGAGCAAUGGGGGGACGCAGGAGGAUAGGGUAAGCGCACUGCUGGAUAUGUGCGUCUAAGCAGUUAGGCUGAUGAUGAGGCAAAUCCCAUCAUCGUGAAGGCUGAGCUGUGAUAGCGAGCGAAUUAUAGUAGCGAAGUUCCUGAUUCCACACUGCCAAGAAAAGCCUCUAGCGAGGAAAAAGGUGCCCGUACCGCAAACCGACACAGGUAGGCGAGGAGAGAAUCCUAAGGUGAGCGAGAGAACUCUCGUUAAGGAACUCGGCAAAAUGACCCCGUAACUUCGGGAGAAGGGGUGCUCUGGUAGGGUGCAAGCCCGAGAGAGCCGCAGUGAAUAGGCCCAGGCGACUGUUUAGCAAAAACACAGGUCUCUGCGAAGCCGUAAGGCGAAGUAUAGGGGCUGACGCCUGCCCGGUGCUGGAAGGUUAAGAGGAGUGCUUAGCGCAAGCGAAGGUGCGAAUCGAAGCCCCAGUAAACGGCGGCCGUAACUAUAACGGUCCUAAGGUAGCGAAAUUCCUUGUCGGGUAAGUUCCGACCCGCACGAAAGGCGUAACGAUCUGGGCACUGUCUCAACGAGAGACUCGGUGAAAUUAUAGUACCUGUGAAGAUGCAGGUUACCCGCGACAGGACGGAAAGACCCCGUGGAGCUUUACUGUAGCCUGAUAUUGAAUUUUGGUACAGCUUGUACAGGAUAGGUAGGAGCCUUGGAAACCGGAGCGCCAGCUUCGGUGGAGGCAUCGGUGGGAUACUACCCUGGCUGUAUUGAAAUUCUAACCCGCGCCCCUUAUCGGGGUGGGAGACAGUGUCAGGUGGGCAGUUUGACUGGGGCGGUCGCCUCCUAAAGAGUAACGGAGGCGCCCAAAGGUUCCCUCAGAAUGGUUGGAAAUCAUUCGCAGAGUGUAAAGGCACAAGGGAGCUUGACUGCGAGACCUACAAGUCGAGCAGGGACGAAAGUCGGGCUUAGUGAUCCGGUGGUUCCGCAUGGAAGGGCCAUCGCUCAACGGAUAAAAGCUACCCCGGGGAUAACAGGCUUAUCUCCCCCAAGAGUCCACAUCGACGGGGAGGUUUGGCACCUCGAUGUCGGCUCAUCGCAUCCUGGGGCUGUAGUCGGUCCCAAGGGUUGGGCUGUUCGCCCAUUAAAGCGGUACGCGAGCUGGGUUCAGAACGUCGUGAGACAGUUCGGUCCCUAUCCGUCGUGGGCGCAGGAAAUUUGAGAGGAGCUGUCCUUAGUACGAGAGGACCGGGAUGGACGCACCGCUGGUGUACCAGUUGUCUUGCCAAAGGCAUCGCUGGGUAGCUAUGUGCGGAAGGGAUAAGUGCUGAAAGCAUCUAAGCAUGAAGCCCCCCUCGAGAUGAGAUUUCCCAUCACGUAAGUGAGUAAGAUCCCUAGAAGAUGACUAGGUAGAUAGGUCAGAGAUGGAAGCAUGGCGACAUGUGGAGUUGACUGAUACUAAUCGAUCGAGGACUUAACC
rnacentral:rRNA from 1 species